rnacentral:rRNA from 1 species
GAUGAACGCUGGCGGCGUGCCUAACACAUGCAAGUCGAGCGAACAGACGAGGAGCUUGCUCCUCUGACGUUAGCGGCGGACGGGUGAGUAACACGUGGAUAACCUACCUAUAAGACUGGGAUAACUUCGGGAAACCGGAGCUAAUACCGGAUAAUAUAUUGAACCGCAUGGUUCAAUAGUGAAAGACGGUUUUGCUGUCACUUAUAGAUGGAUCCGCGCCGCAUUAGCUAGUUGGUAAGGGAACGGCUUACCAAGGCAACGAUGCGUAGCCGACCUGAGAGGGGGUGCGGCCACACAGGAACUGAGACACGGUCCAGAGUCCUACGGGAGGCAGCGGUGGGGAAGGUUCCGCAAUGGGCGAAAGCCUGACGGGGCAACGCCGCGUGGGUGAGGAAGGUCUUCGGAUCGUAAAACUCUGUUAUUAGGGAAAAACAAAUGUGUAAGUUACUAUGCACGUCUUGACGGUACCGAAUAAGAAGGCCACGCCAAACUACGG